rnacentral:rRNA from 1 species
AGCGAACGCUGGCGGCAGGCUUAACACAUGCAAGUCGAGCGGGCGUAGCAAUACGUCAGCGGCGGACGGGUGAGUAACGCGUGGGAACGUACCUUUUGGUUCGGAACAACACAGGGAAACUUGUGCUAAUACCGGAUAAGCCCUUACGGGGAAAGAUUUAUCGCCGAAAGAUCGGCCCGCGUCUGAUUAGCUAGUUGGUAGGGUAAUGGCCUACCAAGGCGACGAUCAGUAGCUGGUCUGAGAGGAUGAUCAGCCGCAUUGGGACUGAGACACGGCCCAAACUUCUACGGGAGGCAGCAGUGGGGAAUAUUGGACAAUGGGGGCAACCCUGAUCCAGCCAUGCCGCGUGAGUGAUGAAGGCCCUAGGGUUGUAAAGCUCUUUUGUGCGGGAAGAUAAUGACGGUACCGCAAGAAUAAGCCCCGGCUAACUUCGUGCCAGCCGCCGCGGUAAAAC